AUGAAAGGAUGGCUUCUAUGUGUUGUCAUGUUGGCAUGCAUACCUCCAGUUGUACUUGCUGCAGGAAUAGCCACAAAAAUGAUGACCAAAAUCACGAGCAGAAGUCAAGCAUCAUACAGUAAUGCGGGGAAUGUUGUCGAACAAACAAUUGGAGCCAUAAAAACAGUCGUUUCUUUCAAUGGGGAGAAGCAAGCCAUAGAAGCAUACAAUAAACUAAUACACAGAUCAUAUGAGAAUGUUGUUGAGGAAGGACUUACCAAUGGUUUUGGCAUGGGUUCUGUUUUCUUUGCCCUCUUCUCUAGCUAUGGCCUAGCCAUAUGGUAUGGUGGGAAGUUAGUACUUACAAAAGGAUACACUGGAGGACAAGUCCUCACUGUCCUGUUAGCUAUCAUGACCGGGGCAGCAUCUUUAGGUAAUGCAGCCCCGUGUAUGACUGCCUUUGCAGAAGGACAAUCAGCAGCACACAGAAUGUUCAGAAUAAUCAAGAGGAAACCAGAUAUUGAUCCUGAUGACAAUAUUGGUAAACAACUAGAAGAAAUGAGGGGUGAUGUUGAGUUGAAGGAUGUGUACUUUAGCUACCCAUCAAGGCCCGGGAAACUAACAUUUGAUGGAUUCUCACUACAUGUGCGUACUGGCACUAUGAUGGCUAUAGUUGGGGAGAGUGGGAGUGGCAAGUCAACCAUGGUUAGUCUUGUAGAGAGAUUUUAUGAUCCGCAGGCUGGUGAGAUUUUGAUUGACGGGAUCAAUAUCAAGAGUUUACACCUUGAUUCAGUAAGAGCAAAAAUUGGUCUUGUUAGCCAAGAGCCCUUGCUCUUUAUGACCUCAAUUAAAGAUAACAUAACAUAUGGCAAAGAAGAUGCAACAAUGGAUGAGAUUAAGAGAGCUGCCGAGCUUGCUAAUGCGGCAAAUUUUGUUGGUAAGUUGCCCAAUGGGUAUAACACAAUGGUUGGCCAACGUGGUGCUCAACUUUCUGGGGGACAAAAGCAAAGGAUUGCGAUUGCUAGAGCAAUCAUUAAAAACCCCAAAAUACUCUUGCUAGAUGAGGCUACUAGUGCAUUAGAUGUGGAAGCAGAGAGGAUAGUUCAGGUGGCACUGGAUAGGAUCAUGGUUGAUAGAAGUACGCUUGUGGUUGCACACCGUUUAAGUACCAUUAGGAAUGCUAAUUGCAUAUCAGUUAUUCAAGAAGGAAAGAUAGUUGAGCAAGGUACCCAUGAUGAAUUAGUACUAAACUUAGAUGGUGCAUACUCUCAACUUAUUCUACUACAAGAAAGCCAUGAAGAGAAAAGAAUAGAUCGUCGAUUGUCUACUCAACGGUCUAAAAGCGCAAGCCUGUCAAUGAAGCGAUCGAUUAGUGAUUCUCUAGGAAGCAGUAGCGGGCACUCUUUUACAUUACCCUCCAGACUGCCUGGCACAGUUGAAUCGUCUGUAGGAAAUGAUACACAUAAGGAGAAUCAGAAAGAGUGCAAUUUUGAUGGUUUGGUCCCAAACCAAUCUCCCAUGGUACGGCUAGCACUUCUUAACAAGCCAGAGGUACCUAUUCUUCUGUUGGGAUCCUUAGCGGCAGCAGUUCACGGAGUGCUUUUCCCAAUGUUUGGUUUAAUGCUUUCAAGUGCCAUUAAAGCUUUCUAUGAGCCACUGGAUAAACUAAAAAAGGAUACUAGUUUUUGGGGUCUGAUAUGUGUUGUCAUAGGCAUCAUAUCGAUAAUCUCAAUACCAGAAGAGUUCUUCUUAUUUGGAAUAGCUGGAGGAAAGCUUAUCGAGCGCAUCCGGGCUUUAUCAUUUCAAAGCAUUGUGCACCAAGAAGUUGCUUGGUUUGAUGAUCCGAGAAAUUCCAGUGGAGCACUUGGUGCAAGACUAUCAAUUGAUGCUUUAAAUGUCCGACGUUUAGUGGGAGAUAACUUGUCCUUAAUAGUUCAGAUUAUCUCAACACUUGUCACAGGAGUUUUCAUUGCUAUGAUAGCUGAUUGGAAGCUCUCUUUGAUCCUCAUAUGUGUGAUUCCACUUGUGGGUCUACAAAGUUAUGCCCAUGUGAAGUUCUUAGGUGGAUUUAGUCAAGAUGCUAAGAUGAUGCAUGAAGAUGCGAGUCAAGUGGCCACAGAUGCAGUCAUUAGUAUAAGGACCAUAGCUUCUUUUUGUUCACGGAAAAGAAUUACAAGAAUAUAUGAUUAUAAAUGUGAAGAAUCAAUGAAUCAAGGAUUCAAAACUGGAGUAGUUGGGGGUAUUGGAUUUGGUUUCUCUUACUUGAUGUUGUACCUUACAUAUGGUCUUUGUUUCUAUGUCGGAGGGCAAUUUGUGCGCCAAGGAAAAUCAAAAUUUGGUGACAUCUUCGAGGUUUUCUUUGCACUAGUUUUAGCAACUAUGGGAGUAUCUCAAACAAGUGCUAUGGUCUCCGAUUCAAAUAAAGCAAAGAUUUCAGCUAUCUCCGUAUUUGCUUUGCUGGACCGAAAGUCAAAAAUUGACUCAAGCAACAAUGAGGGUUUUACAUUAGAUGAGGUCAAGGGAGACAUUGAUUUCCGACAUGUCAGCUUCAAGUACCCAACUCGCCCAGAUAUUAUCAUCUUCAAUGACUUUACCCUGCAUAUUCCGGUUGGCAAGACUAUUGCACUUGUUGGAGAGAGUGGUAGUGGGAAGUUAACGGUAAUUGCGCUAUUGGAGAGAUUCUAUGAUCCUGAUUUAGGCACCACUUUAUUGGAUGGAGUGGGAAUCAACAACUUAAACAUCAAGUGGUUGAGGGACCAAAUCGGACUGGUGAGCCAAGAGCAUGUGCUCUUCAAUGACACUAUUCGUGCCAACAUAGCCUAUGGUAACAAACGGGAAGUCAAAGAGGAGGAGCUCAUAUCAGCAGCAAAGGCAUCCAAUGCGCAUGAGUUCAUAUCAAGCCUUCCUCGUGGAUAUGACACCUCCGUUGGAGAGAGAGGGAUACAACUAUCUGGUGGCCAAAAGCAGCGGGUGGCUAUUGCAAGGGCCAUACCGAAAGACCCUAAGAUACUACUACUCGACGAGGCAACUAGCGCCUUGGAUGUUGAAUCUGAACGGAUAGUGCAUAUUGCCUUAAAUCAUGUUAUGGUUGGCAGGACAACGAUUGUUGUGGCGCACCGCCUAUCGACGAUCAAAUGUGUUGAUACCAUUGAAGUUCUCCAGGAUGGUGUGAUAGUAGAGAAAGGAAGUCACGCGUCCUUGAUGAAACUCAAAGAUGGAGUGUAUGCUUCACUGGUCGAACUCCAGUCGGCGUCAUCAUAA
rnacentral:rRNA from 1 species